UACGUAGGGUGCAAGCGUUUGUCCGGAAUUAUUGGGCGUAAAGAGCGUGUAGGCGGCCCGGUUAGUCCGCUGUGAAAGUCCAGGGCUCAACCCUGGAAUGCCGGUGGAUACUGUCGGGCUAGAGUCCGGAAGGGGCGAGUGGAAUUCCUGGUGUAGCGGUGAAAUGCGUAGAUAUCGGAGGAACACCGGUGGCGAAGGCGCGAUCCUGGACCAUGACGUGACGCUGAGGAGCGAAAGCCAGGGGAGCAAACGGG
rnacentral:rRNA from 1 species